GGUCACGAGGUCCAGCGUCACGCCCUCCGGCGUGCUGGCCGGCAACCGCGCAGACGCGCACGGUGCCCCCGGAGGAAGACCCGCCCGCACCACCCGGUGCGGGAAGUGCGCACC
rnacentral:ncRNA from 2 species